UGAUAGAGGCGCGGUUUUCAUAAGUAAUCCAGUACGAUAGUCCGGGAGACUGUACUGGGUGGAAGGGAAGACUGCCGAAGGGUGUGCAUAUCCCGUGUGCACAUUCUGGGACGCGUGCAGAAGAUGCCGCGGACUGUCACAUCAGUGGAGCGCUAUCAG
rnacentral:ncRNA from 1 species